rnacentral:rRNA from 1 species
GGUUACUGCUAUCGGUGUUCGCCUAAGCCAUGCGAGUCAUAUGUUCGUAAGAACAUGGCGUACUGCUCAGUAACACGUGGAUAACCUGCCCCUGGGUCCGGCAUAACCCCGGGAAACUGGGGAUAAUUCCGGAUAACGCACAUAUGCUGGAAUGCUUUAUGCGUAAAAUGGAUUCGUCUGCCCAAGGAUGGGUCUGCGGCCUAUCAGGUAGUAGUGGGUGUAAUGUACCUACUAGCCUACGACGGGUACGGGUUGUGAGAGCAAGAGCCCGGAGAUGGAUUCUGAGACAUGAAUCCAGGCCCUACGGGGCGCAGCAGGCGCGAAAACUUUACAAUGCGGGAAACCGUGAUAAGGGGACACCGAGUGCCAGCAUCCUAUGCUGGCUGUCCGGGUGUGUAAAAUACACCUGUUAGCAAGGGCCGGGCAAGACCGGUGCCAGCCGCCGCGGUAACACCGGCGGCCCGAGUGGUGAUCGUGAUUAUUGGGUCUAAAGGGUCCGUAGCCGGUUUGGUCAGUCCUCCGGGAAAUCUGACAGCUUAACUGUUAGGCUUUCGGAGGAUACUGCCAGACUUGGAACCGGGAGAGGUAAGAGGUACUACAGGGGUAGGAGUGAAAUCUUGUAAUCCCUGUGGGACCACCUGUGGCGAAGGCGUCUUACCAGAACGGGUUCGACGGUGAGGGACGAAAGCUGGGGGCACGAACCGGAUUAGAUACCCGGGUAGUCCCAGCCGUAAACGAUGCUCGCUAGGUGUCAGGCAUGGCGCGACCGUGUCUGGUGCCGCAGGGAAGCCGUGAAGCGAGCCACCUGGGAAGUACGGCCGCAAGGCUGAAACUUAA